rnacentral:lncRNA from 1 species
CAGCUUAAUGCUGUUUCUCUGCUGGCUGAAAUUAGGGGGAUGGGAAGUAUGGAAGAGCAAUACCACCAGGGGAAAAAAAGUUACAGAAUAAGUGGAGGGCAAUGGCAGCCAGGAAGAGGCUGAAGCCUCCACAGGUCAGUGUUUUCACCAACAGCUGUGACUGAAGAAAACAAAGUAGUUUUAAAUUACAGGAGUUCUUUUCUCUAGUAAAAAUCCCAGUGAAGCACUUACAACUGCAGGGAUGGUAUUUAACACCAUUUAAAACUCAUUAGUGUCCCCUGGAAUAAGAACUACAAUACACACGGAAACUGUGAUGCCACAAGCUGGCUG